rnacentral:lncRNA from 1 species
GUGUAGUGUAUUGUUUGACUGUUGUGAGUUGUGAAGUUUAGGAAUGCAUGGAUGUUGCAUGGGAUCUGUACCUGUGAAUUUGGUUAAUGUUUCCUGGAAUGUAUCAGUGAGUUUACUUAUUAGGUCUGUGUCAAUGUUGUUAAUGGACAAUGUGUUGUCAUCAAUGAAUAUUAUUUCUGGUGUCUGUUCCACUUCGUGUUCUAUUUGUGUGUGUGAAUCAGUUUCAUGUUGUGAUAUUUGUUGUGCUACCUGAAUUUUAAUGUUUUCUAAUGUACUGUGUGGUAUGAGAUUUCUGUAGAUGAUGGUUCUUCUUUAAUCUGCUAUGCGUUGUUC